UAAUAUUUUCUUCAGCAGCUCAACAAUGCGUUUUUCUGUAUCAUCCCAUUUCAAUACGAAAUAUCUAUUCCCCUAUUAAGCCAUAGUAUGUCUGCUAUAGCAUAUACCAAAUACCAUACCAAAUAUUUUAGAUAUUUUUUCCCGCGCACACUCUUUGUCUGUCUAAGGAAGAAAAGUGUUGUCUUUGAGUUUCUUUUAAGGAAGACAUCGUAAUUAACGAACAUUUAAUGACUUCAGGAUAGAUAUCGUGCGCGAGAGAGUUGGAAGGCAAUCCUGUUGGUCGUGUGUGUGAGUGGGAAAUCCUUUGUGUGGGCCAUUUUCCUUCUCUGUCGCUUGUUUGUGCAAAAAUUAGUCGCGGCGCAAAGCAAAAACAACCUUGGGGGCGUCUGCAGAAAGUUCGCUACACGAACGAAUGUCGCUUCGCAUUUGAGCCGGAAAAGUUGAUUUCCCUGCUUUCUAUCGUUGUUAUUUUUGUUGUUAUCUUUGAGUGCCAUAAUUGUAGGCAACAGGAAAAGUUUUCAUGUUGGUCGGUUAGUGCUAUUUUUUGCCAAUAUCGUAGCUUUUGUUGUUGAUUGCCUAAAUGUCAAUUGACAUUAAUGAGUAUUGUUCCCAUAACCUUGGCCUAAAUCAAUUGCCAGCACGUGGAUAGUGUUGUCAAGUUAUAAUAUUAUUUUGACAGCUCGUGAACAUAUAUGUGUGGCGAGGAGGAGCCUCCCUGGCCAACUCUUAAGGAAGGGAGUGCGAUCUGCCUUCACACCUUGCUCAUGGAAGUCAUACGUACCAUAAGGGUAAGGUCCAAGGGUAACUGCAUGAAGUCAAAUCUCCGCCAGCUCCGAUCACCAGGGACAGGAACAGAGGUGGCACCUACUCAAGUGAAAAUCGACCCAUCCUGGCGAGGUGUUGGAAGGCUUGGCUGCCUCGGCACAGAAUGCAAUAAGCAAAAACGAGAGAGCACCAACAACUUGGGAGCUUUCCUAAGCAAGGACUCCUGUGCCACAACACCUAGGCUUGCCCAGACUUGCUGAGCUGAUUGAGGGAUAGGAUACGCCAAAGCGGAAAGGGGACGCAUUCGGCGGAAAACAAAACCAGAGGAGACGAAGGCCGAUAACGCAGCUUUUAUGCGCUGAUAAGCUGGCGAAAAUCGGUCCGGUCCUGGAUCAGCGAAUACUCCAAACCAACGUCGAGGAGGUGCUGCACAUUAACGUCCAGAUGAAAGCAAUGGUCUCAAAGUUUAAA